AUCAUAAUUAGUUUUCUACUCCAUCCGACUUAUUCCUUUUUUUUUUAAUCAUCUCACAUAGCAUGUUUAGUCCACUUUCACUCUGUUAUGGAUAAUUGUUGAUUACGAAAGGCAUUAUGUAUGUAUGUGUGUUCUCUUUCCUCUUUUUUGUAGAAAAAUUUCUCCUCCUUGUAGGUUUUUCCAUUUUUUGUCAUUGCUUCAAAUUUUAUUUUUGGAGUUUCAAUACCUGUCAGUUUAGUUAGGCUAAAGCUUAAGUAACUUUUUUACAAACCGUGUUUUAGACAUUUUGGAAGUCCCAAAAAAGUUUAUUAAAAAAUGUUAAGGGACCGAAUUCUUCAAUCACCAUGGCAUUAUAUAGGCUCAAUGCCAAAACCAAAAUCAAUACCAAAAUCAAACGACCCAAGAACACCACAAAGGUUCCACCUAUGGUUGCUAGACCUUUUCCCACUUAGAGACCACCACAAAGGAGGAGGAAUAUCACCAAGACAAUCAACACAAAGAAAAGUGGCAGAAGGCAGUAGAGUAGGCUGAGAAAGAGAGCACGCAGAGAGUAGAGAAGAAGACACCAAGCCUAGUGAGGCGUGCAAGACCAAGUGACUAUAUAUUGGGCCAAGUCUCAAAUAAGGUAAGUUAGGUCUAGGUACUGGGUCAUGGCCCAAUAACAAUUAAGUAGAAAAUGGAAUGGGCCUCAAGUGUUGUUCGCCAUCCAAGUAGGUAGAAACUUGACCCAUGAGCAACAAAAUAUAAUUGGUUGCUUCAAAUGGUCCAAUAACUUCUUGGGUCGAGUCAUUCCAAUUUUUGGUAUUGAUAUAUCGUUUAGUCAUAUUGCAAAUGUCGACUGAUAAUUAAUAACUGGUUUACAUCAUCAUCUAGGAGGUCGUUUGACAACAAUAUGUCUAAUAUUCACUUUUUUGAAGCUUAGCCAAAAUGAAUAUAAGGUGCAAUGUCUAUCUCAAUCCUACAUAAUUGGUUAUGAUGCAUCUACUGAAGAAAAAACUUGUUCCUAUUCCUGUGAAACGUCUCCUUCUUUAUUUUAAAGGUCUGCCUGCUUCAACUUGAUACAUCACUUAUCUGGUACCGUUGAAUAUUGUUCAAUUCAAUAUUUCAAUUUGCUUUAAAUGUCAAAAAAUGUUAAAAGUAGACAUGGUCAAGAUAAUUUAUGAACAUUUUAUGAAAUUAAAUGUAAAUAUUGUCCAAUUAUUUUUUGGGCAAAUUUACUUAAGUUUGAGGAUUCAUAUCAUGAAAUUUACAAUCUUUUAGUCUGAACGUCAAUUUUAUAAACAUUCACUUUGUGCAAAAUGCUAGAAUUUCCCACGCUUGACUGGUCACAGAAUAGCUUGAAAGUCUGCAGGUAUAUACAGUUCUUUUGACUUGCUUUCCCAUAAGGUAAGUCAUUUACUAGUAGAUUCAAAAGCACAUACAUGUUGCUGGAAGCUUCCUAGUUGAUCUAUUUUUUUUUAUUUCUCCCUUUCCUAGUUCUUUGUGAUUUAAUUCUCUUAGAAAUCAGCACUGAUGCAUGUUCCGUAUUAAUAAGUCCCAAAAAUUGAAUCUCAAACUUAAAUAAAUUUUUAGCUAUUUUAGUGUUGUCUUGUCCGUUGCAUCAAUUUUAUGGAACAAAGCUGCAUCUCCAUAUAUAGCAAAUUAGGUAGAUAAAGAUGCUUUUUAUUUCCUGAAGUUGCUCAGCAUCAUAUUGAAUAUUGCCCUUGAUGUUGCCUUCAACAUUGCCACUGCAGAAGCUCCCAGAAUUGGAUGACUUGGAGUGUUCAUGGACUAUAAGGUCAUGGAUGAUGGUGUUAAUGUAAUGGUUAUAUAUGGCCCUGGUCUGAGAAGCGAAGCUGGUGAUUAUAAUUGCUUUCUCAACGUCAUAAUACUGGUUGGUAUUGGGAAGUAUGCUUUCAUUUGUUGUUUUCUAUUGAGUUUUCUUUCUCUGUCCAUUGUUUUCUUUCAUGGUAAAAUAUUCCUUGGCCCUAAGAUAUUGACUCUAUCUGGAAUUCAGUCCUUGUGGCACUUGAAUUCUGCUCUUUGCAUUGCAAUAUUAAUCUUUCUAUUUUCUACUACUAAUUUUUGUUUCAUCUUUCAUAUGGUAGUGUUAGCCCUUUCUUGGUGUUCGUGAUUUCAGUGAAGGAUUAAGGUGUGAGAUAAAAGAUGGAAGAUGGAAGCAUAUGAA
rnacentral:lncRNA from 1 species